CGCCAGACUCCUACGGGAGGCAGCAGUGGGGAAUAUUGGGCAAUGGGCGCAAGCCUGACCCAGCAACGCCGCGUGAAGGAAGAAGGCCCUCGGGUUGUAAACUUCUUUUGUCAGGGACGAAGCAAGUGACGGUACCUGACGAAUAAGCCACGGCUAACUACGUGCCAGCAGCCGCGGUAAUACGUAGGUGGCAAGCGUUAUCCGGAUUUACUGGGUGUAAAGGGCGUGUAGGCGGGGAAGCAAGUCAGAUGUGAAAUUCCAGGGCUCAACCCGGGAACUGCAUUUGAAACUGUUUUUCUUGAGUGAUGGAGAGGCAGGCGGAAUUCCGUGUGUAGCGGUGAAAUGCGUAGAUAUCAGGAGGAACACCGGCGGCGAAGGCGGCCUGCUGGACCGCGACUGACGUUGAGGCUCGAAAGCGUGGGGAGCGAACAGGAUUAGAUACCCCAGUA
rnacentral:rRNA from 1 species